rnacentral:rRNA from 1 species
UACGUAGGGGGCAAGCGUUGUCCGGAAUCAUUGGGCGUAAAGAGCUCGUAGGCGGUUUGGUAAGUCGGGUGUGAAAUCUCCACGCUCAACGUGGAGGGGCCACUCGAUACUGCCAUGACUCGAGUCCGGUAGAGGAGUGUGGAAUUCCCGGUGUAGCGGUGAAAUGCGCAGAUAUCGGGAGGAACACCCGUAGCGAAGGCGGCACUCUGGGCCGGAACUGACGCUGAGGAGCGAAAGCGUGGGGAGCAAACAGG